ACCAGACUCCUACGGGAGGCAGCAGUGGGGAAUAUUGCACAAUGGGGGAAACCCUGAUGCGGCGACGCCGCGUGAGUGAAGAAGUAUUUCGGUAUGUAAAGCUCUAUCAGCAGGGAAGAAAAUGACGGUACCUGAUUAAGAAGCCCCGGCUAACUACGUGCCAGCAGCCGCGGUAAUACGUAGGGGGCAAGCGUUAUCCGGAUUUACUGGGUGUAAAGGGAGCGUAGACGGUGAUGCAAGUCAGAAGUGAAAGCCCGGGGCUCAACUCCGGGACUGCUUUUGAAACUGUGUGACUGGAGUGCAGGAGAGGUAAGCGGAAUUCCUGGUGUAGCGGUGAAAUGCGUAGAUAUCAGGAGGAACACCAGUGGCGAAGGCGGCUUGCUGGACUGUAACUGACGUUGGGGCUCGAAAGCGUGGGUAUCGAACAGGAUUAGAUACCCCUGUA
rnacentral:rRNA from 1 species